UGAUUUACUUUCUGGCGAUUUCCGCCAAA
rnacentral:sRNA from 1 species